rnacentral:rRNA from 1 species
AUUUAGAGGAAGUAAAAGUCGUAACAAGGUUUCCGUAGGUGAACCUGCGGAAGGAUCAUUAAAGAGUAAGGGUGCUCAGCGCCCGACCUCCAACCCUUUGUUGUUAAAACUACCUUGUUGCUUUGGCGGGACCGCUCGGUCUCGAGCCGCUGGGGAUUCGUCCCAGGCGAGCGCCCGCCAGAGUUGAACCAAACUCUUGUUAUUUAACCGGUCGUCUGAGUUAAAAUUUUGAAUAAAUCAAAACUUUCAACAACGGAUCUCUUGGUUCUCGCAUCGAUGAAGAACGCAGCGAAAUGCGAUAAGUAAUGUGAAUUGCAGAAUUCAGUGAAUCAUCGAAUCUUUGAACGCACAUUGCGCCCCUUGGUAUUCCGAGGGGCAUGCCUGUUCGAGCGUCAUUACACCACUCAAGCUAUGCUUGGUAUUGGGCGUCGUCCUUAGUUGGGCGCGCCUUAAAGACCUCGGCGAGGCCACUCCGGCUUUAGGCGUAGUAGAAUUUAUUCGAACGUCUGUCAAAGGAGAGGAACUCUGCCGACUGAAACCUUUAUUUUUCUAGGUUGACCUCGGAUCAGGUAGGGAUACCCGCUGAACUUAAGCAUAUCAAUAAG